CUCCCAGGCCUGCUUUCUCCCGCAGAGGAGAGCGCAGACACUGUGUCCAUCUUCGGUGGGAGGAUGCUGUCUGAGAUCAAGCGUGAGAGUGGACUGCGCGGUUCCGAUCUGCCAAGUCACACAGACCUCUUCUUUCUGGAUUCUCUGGCCUACGACACGCGCUUUGCCCGUGGAAAGCUUGCAGGGUUGGCUGCGGGAAGUCAAGUAUGAGUGCUGAGGGGGAAAAUCACCAACAGGCCUGCGCAGUUUCUGUGAGCCUUGUGUGACAGAGCAGCAAGGGGCUCAGCGGUGUGGCACAGCCCCUGGAGCUCUACAGAAAAAGGCCUGAUCUGAGACCCAACUGUUUGAAGGGAUCCACUGGGACAAUGGCUUUCAGAACUUCCAAUGGAUUGGUCCCAGAACCUGGGAAGAAAAUAUUUCUUCAAAGCAGAGGGCAACAAGUCUUUGGCCAGAGCACGACCUGUUCAGCAAAAGGAUUAAUUUCCCAUUCUUGACUUUGCUGUUUAUAUCACUUUUACCUUUUAAUAAGUAAAUUGUCACAAACAUACAAUUUAGACUUAGAAAGAAAACUCCUUUUU